rnacentral:lncRNA from 1 species
UCUCAAAAUGUAAUCCUCGAGCUGCUGAAUCCGAACUGACUGAUCUGAGAUCAUCUGAAAUAUAGUGAAGAUAUGGGGGAUCAAGGUCUGAUCAGAUGCAUCUAAUGAUGUGGAUCCCGAUGCAAAAGCAGAAGUGCUCCACUGACGAGAAAGCAAGGAAGCCACACGUUGAGAAAUCUGCUCAAUCUGAUCAUCAGCCAAUCUAAACUCUGAGGGAGGUGCUCUGCUGUCUGGCUGCUGAACUGGUG